UACGUAGGCAGCAAACGUUGUUUCGGAGUUUACUGGGCGUAAAGAGCUCGUAGGUGGUUUUGUCGCGUUUGUUCGUGAAAACUCACAGCUUUAACUGUGGGUCUGCGGUGGAUACGGGCUGGCUAGAGGUAGGUAGGGGGCAAGCGGAAUUCCUGGUGUAGCGGUGAAAUGCGCAGAUAUCAGGAGGAACACCGGUGGCGAAGGCGGCUUUCUGGGCCUUACCUGACGCUGAGGAGCGAAAAGCGUGGGGGGAGCGAACAGG
rnacentral:rRNA from 1 species